UGCGGCUGGUGCUGGGGCGCAGCGCGCUGCCCAGGCUGUAGGUGCGGGUGGACGUAGUCACGUAGCUCCGGCUGGAGCUCGGCCGGCUCGCGGUGCCCGGGCCGCCGAACAUCCUGCGGUAGGAGGACGAGGACACGGACCUGGUGGACAUGGCUGCGGAGGGUGGCGAUGGCCUGGGCGGCGGCGGUGGCGCGGACUGGCUCCCGGAGAAGAGGCGAACGAGGGCGCUCUCCUGGAAUGGGCACUGGUCCUCUUCAUCAUCUCAGGGAUAGAUUUUAAAAUAGAGCAUGCUUAAUAUACUUCAGAUGUCUGCAAGGGGAACAGCAGCAAAUACCACAGUCCCAUGACAGCAAAGCUCCCUUUGGAUGACAUAGAUUUAUUACUUAGUAGUAUAUUAUGUAUUGGCUGUCCCACAUUUUGAAAUUUAAUGGACUCGUGGUGAUCAGAAUAAAAGAAGCCUUCGAUGUGAGGCCCAGGCAUUGAGUACCAUGUGUGCGAUUCACAAGCCUUGGCAUCUGAACAAUUUUUUGGAAGGAUCCAUCAGGACAACACGUCGGGGGUGUACUAGUGAAGUGAUUUUCCAAAUGUGCUACUCAGACCUGUAGCAUCAGCAUCACCGGAUAAUUUGUUAGAAAUUCCAACUGUUAGGCCCCACUUUAGACCAACUGAAUGUGAAACUCUGGGAGUACGUGGGGCCCAGCAAUUUGUGUUUUUACAAGACUUACCAGGUGAUUCUGAGAACCACUGUGCUAGUGAAUUGUUCCUGUCUGUGGCCACGUAGAAUAAGAAAACCAUAGGGUUGGAAAAUGGGGAAACUGGUGAGUGUUCGCUUAUGAGGAAAUGAAGAAUAGAUAGAAAAGAAUUAGUUAACUUUUGGAAUUCAAAAGAGAAGCAGUUUGUAAAAGCCAGGAAUUUGAUUUGAAGGACUAAUUGCUUGCAGAAUCUUUGCUUUCUCAGAGAGGGGCAAUCCAGAUCACUAGGUUACCGUGAAAUAUGUUGGUAUGGCUCUAAAAUUCUAGAAUAAUCUCUCUAGUGAGAAAAGGCAUACCUUUCCAUAUUAGGACAAAACUUCAAAUCAGGUUUGUAAAAUCCUAUAAGAUUAUUGUAUCCCAUUGCCAUGGCCAACUUGUUUGUCUCUGGAGAUCCCAGUUUCUACAUCUGAAAACCAUAUGCAUUCCUGCUCACCAGGAAUUAUCUCGCUGAAUGAAGCAAGAGAUUCAGGAUGUGUAAGAGAAUUUAUGAAGCAUUUGGAUUACCAAGAAAUGUGAAGUAUAAAGAUCAAGAAUGAUUAUUACAAACACUGAUGGUAAAGAGGUGUUUCGAAGUCGAUGCAAAAAAUGAGUUGCUUAUUUCAGUCUCUCUUUGAUAUAUCUGCCUUUUUAGUGCUGACUCUAUCAUGUAUUCACUAUUUGAUUUUCAGUGAAUCACAUUUUUUAAAGCUUUUAAUCUGUUUCCUCAAAAAAUAUAUUUUUUAAAAAUAUUUACUCAGGAUUGUUGUGAGAAUAAAAUUGAUUCGAUUGAUAUUUCAAAAAAGAAAUAUAUUUUUAAAAAAUAAAGCAAUACCAUUUUUGGAUAUGCU
rnacentral:lncRNA from 1 species